rnacentral:lncRNA from 1 species
UGCAGCUCCAUGUGCCCUCACCUCCAUCACUGCACACACGGACUGUUACAGCAGCCAAAUCACAGUUAGCUGGCAGCUGAAUGAGGUAUCUUCCUUCUAUGUGGCCACCGCUGAAGGUCAUGACCAAAGUGUUUUGAUAUGCAACAGCACUGGCACGUCCUGUGACCUCUCCGGAGCAAAGUGUGGAAUGCAGUACACCAUUAUAAUUUCCGCGUCCUCCGACAAAUGCAGCAGCUUGCGGAGUCCCCCUCUUAAGAUGCACACAGCACCUUGUGCUCCUCAGAAUAUAACAGUGAACCCAGUGUGUGACUCAAACGGCAUGACGGCAGCAUGGUCACCUUCUCUGGUUGCCGAGUCAUACUCACUCACAGCCAGCAGUAGAGACGGAGAUGUCCGCACCUGCAGAAGCACCGCAAACAACUGCACUCUGCUUCACCUGCACUGCGGACAGAUUUAUGAUGUUAGCGUAACCGCUUCGGCUGGAAACUGCACCAGCCUGGACAGUCAGCAGGUCACCUUCUAUACUGUGCCCUGUGAGCCACAGAACAUGACUGUGGAAGUGCAGUGUGACACCGGGACUGCCACACUCUCUUGGGUGGAGGGCCAGGGUUCGCUGCAGUACUUCACAACAGCUCAAACCAUGGAUGGGCACACGCUUCACUGCGACACCACGAGCACGUCCUGUAGCAUUGACGGACUGACUUGUGGGACGCUGUACAAUUUCAGUGCGCUGGCUUCAGAUGGAACCUGCAACAGCUCCCUCACUGUGCCAAUCCAGAGAGGAGCAGUCCCAUGUCCUCCUUCCACCGUGAGGGUGAGGACCCAUCUGAUGGUUGAUGCCACUCUAAUCAGGGUCUACUGGAAUUUUGUGCAAUGUGCUGACGUCACAUACCUGGUACAGGUGACCGGCGAUAUCCAGGACAACCCAGAGUCCCUUAUGGACGUGUCAUCCUACUGGACAGACAUCAACUACUUUGAGUUUCCUGUUCCCUGUAGCACCUCUUACAGUGUCACUGUGUUUGCACAAAACUCAGCAGGGAUCAGCAGACCAUCUCAGGCUGUUACUGGGGUCACAGGUAACAGAUAACAAGUCAAACUUGCCAUGCUGGAAAAA